rnacentral:lncRNA from 1 species
CAAAACAUCACAUGGUUGUCACUGCUUUCCUGAUACUGGAGGAUGGGUGCAUUCUCUGUGACCCUCCCUUAUUAGAAAGGAGUAGACUAUGGGAAACCUGAACGUGGAUACCUGUGGACUCUGCCUGUUUCUUUUCCAUAGUUGAUCCCUGCUGGAUCUCUGUAACAGAGAAAGAGUAUCAUAUGAGGCAGAGAAGUCCAAGACAGAGGGCAGCAGAGCUAGUGUCUGGUGAGAGCCCACUUCCUGGAUUGAAGACAGCUACCUUCUUCCUGUGUCCUCCUUACAUGGCUGAGAGAGAGAUUAUCACUAAUCCCAGGCUUCACCUCAUGACCUGAUUACUUACCAAUGGCUCUACCUCCAAAUACUAUCUCACUGGGAUUACGGUUUCA